UCUGAUCCAUUUUUAAUCGAC
ensembl:piRNA 21ur-7510 ncRNA